UACGAAGGGGGCUAGCGUUGCUCGGAAUCACUGGGCGUAAAGGGUGCGUAGGCGGGUCUUUAAGUCAGGGGUGAAAUCCCGGGGCUCAACCUCGGAACUGCCUUUGAUACUGCAAAUCUCGAGUCCGGAAGAGGUGAGUGGAAUUCCUAGUGUAGAGGUGAAAUUCGUAGAUAUUAGGAAGAACACCAGUGGCGAAGGCGGGCUCA
rnacentral:rRNA from 1 species